AGUGAACGCUGGCGGUAGGCCUAACACAUGCAAGUCGAACGGCAGCACAGUAAGAGCUUGCUCUUACGGGUGGCGAGUGGCGGACGGGUGAGGAAUACAUCGGAAUCUACUUUUUCGUGGGGGAUAACGUAGGGAAACUUACGCUAAUACCGCAUGCGACCUACGGGUGAAAGCAGGGGAUCUUUGGACCUUGCGCGAUUGAAUGAGCCGAUGUCGGAUUAGCUAGUUGGCGGGGUAAAGGCCCACCAAGGCGACGAUCCGUAGCUGGUCUGAGAGGAUGAUCAGCCACACUGGAACUGAGACACGGUCCAGACUCCUACGGGAGGCAGCAGUGGGGAAUAUUGGACAAUGGGCGCAAGCCUGAUCCAGCCAUACCGCGUGGGUGAAGAAGGCCUUCGGGUUGUAAAGCCCUUUUGUUGGGAAAGAAAAGCAGCAGGUUAAUACCCCGCUGUUCUGACGGUACCCAAAGAAUAAGCACCGGCUAACUUCGUG
rnacentral:rRNA from 1 species